rnacentral:rRNA from 1 species
AUUGAACGCUGGCGGCAGGCCUAACACAUGCAAGUCGGACGGUAGCACAGAGGAGCUUGCUCCUCGGGUGCCGAGUGGCGGACGGGUGAGUAAUGUCUGGGGAUCUGCCCGAUAGAGGGGGAUAACCACUGGAAACGGUGGCUAAUACCGCAUAACGUCGCAAGACCAAAGAGGGGGACCUUCGGGCCUUUCACUAUCGGAUGAACCCAGAUGGGAUUAGCUAGUAGGCGGGGUAACGGCCCACCUAGGCGACGAUCCCUAGCUGGUCUGAGAGGAUGAUCAGCCACACUGGAACUGAGACACGGUCCAGACUCCUACGGGAGGCAGCAGCGGGGAAUAUUGCACAAUGGGCGCAAGCCUGAUGCAGCCAUGCCGCGUGUAUGAAGAAGGCCUUCGGGUUGUAAAGUACUUUCAGCGGGGAGGAAGGCGAUGUGGUUAAUAACCUCGUCGAUUGACGUUACCCGCAGAAGAAGCACCGGCUAACUCCGUGCCAGCAGCCGCCGUAA